rnacentral:rRNA from 1 species
CAGCCGCCGCGGGAAUACGUAGGGUGCGAGCGUUAAUCGGAAUUACUGGGCGUAAAGCGUGCGCAGGCGGUUCGUUAAGACAGAUGUGAAAUCCCCGGGCUUAACCUGGGAACUGCAUUUGUGACUGGCGAGCUAGAGUAUGGCAGAGGGGGGUAGAGUUCCACGUGUAGCAGUGAAAUGCGUAGAGAUGUGGAGGAAUACCGAUGGCGAAGGCAGCCCCCAGGGCCAAUACUGACGCUCAUGCACGAAAGCGUGGGGAGCAAACAGGAUUAGAUACCCCCGUAGUCCCUGUCUCUUAUAC